rnacentral:misc_RNA from 1 species
CCUGUGAACAUACCACUUGUUGCCUCGGCGGAUCAGCCCGCUCCCGGUAAAACGGGACGGCCCGCCAGAGGACCCCUAAACUCUGUUUCUGUAUGUAACUUCUGAGUAAAACCAUAAAUAAAUCAAAACUUUCAACAACGGAUCUCUUGGUUCUGGCAUCGAUGAAGAACGCAGCAAAAUGCGAUAAGUAAUGUGAAUUGCAGAAUUCAGUGAAUCAUCGAAUCUUUGAACGCACAUUGCGCCCGCCAGUAUUCUGGCGGGCAUGCCUGUUCGAGCGUCAUUUCAACCCUCAAGCACAGCUUGGUGUUGGGACUCGCGUUAAUUCGCGUUCCUCAAAUUGAUUGGCGGUCACGUCGAGCUUCCAUAGCGUAGUAGUAAAACCCUCGUUACUGGUAAUCGUCGCGGCCACGCCGUUAAACCCCAACUUCUGAAUGUUGACCUCGGAUCAGGUAGGAAUACCCGCUGAACUUAAGCAUAUCA